AGUAUUCUUUGAUAUGGCGGACGUAAGCUCAUUGAUGGGAACAGCAAAAUCUGGCGGUCGCAAAGUAAUGCAUUUUAUUUUGGCACCGGCCAUAGACAGUGUGGCUUCAUAAGAAUCAUAGAAAGGAGCAAAUAGGAUCACUUCAUCACCAGGAUUUAUCAAGCCUAGCAUAGUUGCAGCAAUGGCUUCUGUGCACCCAGAGGUAACGGUAACUUCUUUUUCAGGGUCCACCACAAGCCCAGUAUCUUUCUUGAACCGGCCAGCAAUUGCAGAGUUGAACUCUGGAACCCCAUAACCACGAGCAUAUUGAUUUUUUCCAUCCCUUAUGGCCUGAAUAGCUGCUUCUUUAACAAACUCUGGACCAUCAAAGUUAGGAAACCCUUGACCAAGAUUUAUUGCCCCAUGUUUGAUUGCAAGUGAACUCAUUUGCGUGAAGAUUGUAGUUUUGAACCUCUCCAAGCGUUUUGCCACCUGUAAUGGCCGCUGGGUCUUCUGGGUCGACUCGCUCUGAAAGGAAACGGCAUCUUUCUCGGUGGUGGAAGGAGUCGAUAAGGUGGCCAUGAGGAAAGGGUAAUAGGAGAUUCCCUUUCGAGAGGCAAGGGAAUCAAAGGAUUUG
rnacentral:misc_RNA from 1 species